GACGAACGCUGGCGGCGUGCUUAACACAUGCAAGUCGAACGGAAAGGCCCUGCCUUUGUGGGGUGCUCGAGUGGCGAACGGGUGAGUAACACGUGAGUACCCUGUCCCUGACUUUGGGAUAACUUCAGGAAAGUGGGGCUAAUACCGGAUAGGAGCUCCUGCCGCAUGGUGGGGGUGGGAAAGUUUCGGCGGUUGGGGAUGGACUCGCGGCUUAUCAGCUUGUUGGUUGGGUGGUGGCUGAGCAAGGCCUUGACGGGUAGCAGGCCUGGGAGGGUGACCGGCCACGUUAGGCUUGGACUGCGGCCCGGCCUCCACCGGUAGGCGACGGUGCAGAGUGUUGCACUGUGGGCUGAGGCCUGGUCCGACCACGCCGCGUGCCGGGAGACGUCAUUCGGGUAGUGUACCACUUUCCCCUGUGCCGAGACGUGAGUGACGGUACUGGGUGAAGAAGCACCGGCUAACUACGUG
rnacentral:rRNA from 1 species